CGCUCUCAGGGGGAACCGCCCGCGCUCCGCGUGGACGGGCGGUGGGCCUGGCUUUGGGGGGUGGAACCUACGUCGCUUUCCCUUCACAUCUUGCCCUCUCGGAGCUUGACGGUGCUCCGGAGAGUCAACACAGGGGGAUAGAGCAGCUCUCCCUCACUAAAACCCAGUGCGGAGCCCUCCCCUCCACGCUGCAUCCUGUCGUGAGGCACAAAUGGUCCGUCCCUCCAUUCCCCCCCGGCGGUCCCCUGGCAACCUGGCUGAUUCUCUCCCUCCGCAGAGUGUCCCGAGGGACCGGCGAGCCCUUCAGAUGCUCCCGAUGGGCCCGAGGCCAAGCGCGGCAGGCCUGGGCAAGGGGAAGCGCUGGCGACUUGCACUCCCGCCUUUGGACGCCUAUGGGUGAGGGGCACACCGAGCUCAUCACUCCUCUUACAGCCUGGGGCUGAGGCCUCACGUAGCAACCUCAUGCUUGAAAUGUUUUAGACAUGAGUAAUCACACCUAAAUGUGAAGCAAUGCUGUGGACUUGGGAAUAAAUAAUGCCAUAUACUGGAAGGAAUGAAGGCAACAUCAGGAAGUGACAUUCAACAUCAGUAUGAUUUCCUGAGUGGGUGAUUUCUGACUUCACACAAGAUGAUUCCAGUUGUCACCUCUAAGAUUGUCUUGGAAGUAGAAUUGAGACAAGUAAUGGCAGAAAUUGUGUCUUGUAUGAGCAUGUUGAAACAGGCACCUCACAAUUUGUUGAAACAGGUUUCCUAACAAAAACUGCUGUAAUUUGACUGUGGGUUAAUUGAAAUAAAUUAUGACUAUUAAUUGAAAUAAAAUACGAGUAUUCUACCAAAA